GCGUCUCUGGCAAUCUUCUGGUGACUCGACCGUUUCUCAACCUUCUCCUUCUUCUUCUUCUUCUUCUUCUUCUUCUACUCCCUCUCAGCAUUUCCCGACCCAUUUGCAGUUGCAGAAAUGUCCCAUCUCUAGGAUUUCAGACCCAACCCAGAAACAGAGGAGCAAAGUUAGAGAAAGAGAAGAGAAAAAAUGUUCUACUCCAAGUGUUUGCUUUCCAGGAAAGGGCCUUUGGGCGUUAUAUGGGUCGCUGCUUACUGCCACAAGAGGCUCAAGAAAUCUCAAGUCGUCGAGACUGAUAUCUCUUCGUCUAUUGAGAAAAUUUUGCUAAAAGACUUUCCUGAAGUUGCAUGUAGAGUGCUGGGCUAUCUUCUUCUUGGUGUUGUGAGAAUAUACUCGAAGAAAGUGGAAUAUCUUUUUGAUGACUGCCGGAAGGUGCUUAAUAGAAUUAAUGCUUUUGUGAAUACCAAAAUAGUGAACACACAUAGGGAAGCUUCACAUGCACCUUUCCUUUCUAUCACUCUACCAGCCAGAUUUGAACUUGAUGCUUUUGAUCUGGAGGUUCUGGAAGAUGUGAGCGGCGACCAUGUGAGACCCCUUGAAGAGAUCACGCUUAAAGAAGCAUGGAGAAAUGAGACAGUGGGGCAUUAUUCUCUAGACAUGUGUGUUUUUGAGGAAGAUGUCGCUGAAACUUUUUCUGCUGCUCAUGCUGAAACUUCGUCCGUUGCUCAAACGCCAGCUGAAUAUGUUCUGUCACCUUCGACUGUAAGUCGGUCAAAUAAUCUAAGCAGCCUAGAAGUGAGCUUGGAGAAGCUUCGGGAUGAAAGGUUCCCUCAAGAAGAAUGUCUGGACUUUGGAUUGAUUUGUAUGGUUGAGGAAGAAUGUCAAAACCUAAUUAGUCCAUUUGGCGAAGGACAUCACAUCGAUGGGGGGGAGAUAAAUUGCCCACAAUUGACAUUUUCAGAAAAUGGGGAGUCUCAGCUUAUAAAAGACCAGAUAAAUGUUCUUUCGCAUCAUUUGAUGGAAAAUGAGAUGGUGGGAAGUCCAUCCCAUAAUCUAAGCAAACCAGAAGCAAGCAUAAAGACGCCUGAAGAUUUUAGGUUCUCUCAAGAAGAUUAUUUGGCUCAUGAAAAGGCUGAUGAAGUACCUACAGAUCUUGUUAGAAGUAAAGAGCUUCAUGCUGAUGGAAUUCAGAAAAAGUCUUUUGAGGAGACACCAUUAGAAAAAAGCAGUUGUCUUGUUAUUACAGAACGUGCAGUAUCUGCUACAGUAAAUACUACUCCAGAGUCCAAGUUCUCGACUGUUUCAGGAGUUACAAACCCAGAGUUCAUGGUCAUUCCAACUCCAGCAAAGAAAGAGAGUUCUCACAUUCCAAGGAAAAGAAAAUGUUCAUUUGACGAUUUUACAGUGUUGCCUAACAAGGUACUUAGGGAAAGAAUAUAUAAUCCAAAUGACUUGGUGUGUAAACGAAGGCCAGCUCCUCACACUGCUCUUGAUGCGUGGAAAGCCUGUCAAAUCUCCAAUCUCGCUCAUGGUUUUUCAGAGCCUUUGCUCCCCUAUAGUUCUUUAGAGAUUAGAUCACUCUUUGGGGAGAAGAAAUUAAAGACAUCAAAGACUACAGAACCGGCGGAAAUUGGUGAAGGUCUUGAUAAGUUGGAUGUGUUGGUAUCCCCAAAUGUUGGUAGAUCUACAGAAGAGACUGCCCUUGCUCCAGGAACACCUGUUGAUCACUCGACAUCUGCUAUAUUGGAUGUGCCAGGAUCCCCAACUGUUGGUAGAUCUUCAGAUCAAACUGCAAUUGCUCCAGAAACACCUACUGAUCACCCAGCAUCAACAAGAUUGUGCAGGGGUCCCAGGAGCUUGCAUAGAUGGGGAUCCAUGAGUUCAUCUGAAAGUGUAGAUAGAGAGUCAUUUUCAGCUGUAGAUGAAGACUGUUGUCUUGAUCUUAUGAGUGAGGAUAUAUCUUCCUGUGAAGGGCAUUCAUGUGAGCAAGAUUAUGGGGAACUAUAUGGGUGGUCAGUGAGAACCAGAGCAGUGGCAGGAUACCUGCGCAGAAGCUUUCUGAAUCGAAGAAAACAGAGAAAGGAGGAGGUUGUCAGCUUGUUGCGGGUUCUGAAAGGAAGAACGAAGGAAGAAAGUGCAAGGGUAUUCUAUGAGAUUCUGGUUUUGAAAACUGAAGGGUAUGUAGGUGUGACGCAAGAUAAUGCCUAUGAUGACAUCCUUGUGCUGGGCCUCCCCAGAUCAUAGAACUGUUGUAGAAGGAUUGGUGCAUAAGCCAGUGGAGGAGCAAUGGUUGUUGGCUCGUCUCUGUAUUUAAUAGAUGGCAAUGGACUGCCUUUUUUUUAAGGGAAUGGAAGAGCUAAGAGCUAAAGAAGACAAACAAAAGAUGCUUGCCCAUCAAACAUUUACUUCAUACUGGGAUUAUUAGGAUGUGGAAAACACAAUUCACUUAAAAGGGGGCAUCAACUUCACUUCGGGUUACCAAGAAAGACUUGAGCCAGUCCACGGACUUCUUGGGGAUCCGCUUCAAAUUGUUGAGGUAAUCUGUGUAGUAAAGCCCGAACCGGACCUUGUAACCCAUAUUCAUUUCCAUGCAGUCCAUCAGAGACCACAUGAAGUACCCCUGAACAUCUGCCCCUUGCCUGUACAGGAAAACCAAAUGAUCCUUAGUAGUACAUUCAAAUGGCCACAUAGAGCAAGGAUCGAUCCAUGAUAUUGUCCUGAACAACUUCCUGGCUUCUGAAAUAGCUGAUAGAUGGCUGAGAAUGUGUUGAAUUCUGGCAUCAUCCUGCAGGGCAUUCUCCACUGAGAUAGCAUUGCCCCAUUUCUCUGGAUAACCUGUUGGAAACGGGUUUCAGAACAGGUCAUUCGGUCAUUGAAAGAUCUUUCCUUCAAACACCCAGAACAUAUGACAAUUUUUGAACCAAAACUGCAUAAUUUAGGCUUUUAGCAUCAGAAGAUGCUAUCGACAAACACGGUCAUACAAUAAGACUAAACUAUGUGCAAACUAGCACUCACCAUU